rnacentral:rRNA from 1 species
UAUAGUAUUGCAUUCGCAUCGUUUUGUAAUUAAAGAUUUAUUGGUAAAGAUGACUAUGCGUUCUAUUAGCUAGAUGGUAAGGUAACGGCUUACCAUGGCAACGAUAGAUAGGGGUCCUGAGAGGGAGAUCCCCNACACUGGUACUGAGACACGGACCAGACUCCUACGGGAGGCAGCAGUGAGGAAUAUUGGGCAAUGGAGGCAACUCUGACCCAGCCAUGCCGCGUGCAGGAAGACUGCCUAUGGGUUGUAAACUGCUUUUAUACAGGAAGAAACANCCGGACGUGUCCGAGCUUGACGGUACUGUACGAAUAAGC